rnacentral:rRNA from 1 species
UACGUAGGGAGCAAGCGUUGUUCGGAUUUACUGGGCGUAAAGGGCGCGUAGGCGGCGCGGUAAGUCACUUGUGAAAUCUCUGAGCUUAACUCAGAACGGCCAAGUGAUACUGCAGUGCUAGAGUGCAGAAGGGGCAAUCGGAAUUCUUGGUGUAGCGGUGAAAUGCGUAGAUAUCUGGAGGAACACCGGUGGCGAAGGCGGCAUCCUGGACCGGCAUUGACGCUGAGGCGCGAAAGCUAGGGGAGCAAACGGG